rnacentral:rRNA from 1 species
UGAGGAAUAUUGGUCAAUGGGCGAGAGCCUGAACCAGCCAAGUAGCGUGCAGGAUGACGGCCCUAUGGGUUGUAAACUGCUUUUAUAUGGGAAUAAAGUGAGGGACGUGUCCCUUAUUGCAUGUACCAUAUGAAUAAGGACCGGCUAAUUCCGUGCCAGCAGCCGCGGUAAUACGGAAGGUCCAGGCGUUAUCCGGAUUUAUUGGGUUUAAAGGGAGCGUAGGCUGUUUGUUAAGCGUGUUGUGAAAUGUAAGAGCUCAACUUUUAGAUUGCAGCGCGAACUGGCAGACUUGAGUGCGCACAACGUAGGCGGAAUUCAUGGUGUAGCGAUGAAAUGCUUAGAUAUCAUGACGAACUCCGAUUGCGAAGGCAGCUUACGGGAGCGCAACUGACGCUAAAGCUCGAAGGUGCGGGUAUCGAACAGG